CGCGCAGGCGGUUUUUUAAGUCAGAUGUGAAAGCCCAAGGCUUAACCUUGGAAGUGCAUCUGAAACUGAAAGACUUGAGUACGGGAGAGGGAAGUGGAAUUCCUGGUGUAGAGGUGAAAUUCGUAGAUAUCAGGAGGAACACCGGUGGCGAAGGCGACUUCCUGGACCGAUACUGACGCUCAGGCGCGAAAGCGGUGGGGAGCAAACA
rnacentral:rRNA from 1 species